rfam:Toxocara canis scaffold115, whole genome shotgun sequence.
GAGGCAGUAGCUAAGUGGUACAGUUCCCGUUUCGUACGCGGGAAGACCUGGGUUCGAUUUCCGGCUGCUUCC